GCGGGUAUAGUUUAGUGGUAUGACAGGUCCUUGCCAAGGAUCAGACGGGAGUUCGAUUCUCCCUACCCGCAC
rnacentral:tRNA from 15 species